rnacentral:lncRNA from 1 species
CGUGGGACAAAAAUAAAACAUAUAGUGCUUUAUUUAUUAGUGUGCACUGACAAUUCAAAGGAAUGUACCAAAUAGGCCAGCCAAAAACUCUCACACAUACAGAUUUAAGUUGUACUCUGUUGCUUAAAGAAAGAAAGAAAGGCAACGACAGAUGACAUUGAAAACACUAACAAAAAGUGGAGUACAAAACUAACAACAACGAUAGUGACCCUGUCGAUGCAUGCAGCCUUUAAUGACCAGAAACAUCAAACAGUAAACCAAGACAAUUAUAACAACUUGAAUCUAAAAUAACAUAACAAGUAAAUCAAAUGCUAAGAGGCUAAGAUUAUCUAACCUAAAAAACAAUUAAUAUUGGCAGCCCUAGAUUAACAAGAACAGCCAUGCAUGCAAGCCCCAGAAUGAUAUCAAGGAUUAUUACAAUGUUGAAAGACACCAGCACCACCAACACCACAUCCCAAACCACCAGCUCCACCUAAAGUCCCCGCACCACCCGGCACCACCGGUCCUCCUAAUCCACCACUUCCACCACCCAAACCACCACCACCACCACCCAAACCACCACCACCACCACUUCCUACACUACCAGGCCCACCACCUAAACCUCCCAAACCACCAUUUCACCACCUACACCUCUCAUACCACCAUUUCCACCACUAACCCUCCAACUCCAC